GGGUACUUUCAUUCCUUUGGUUGGAUGCCUAUUAUGAAGAAUUUAAUUCUUAGCCCAACCUGGUCCAAAUAUUUUUAAGGGGUUCGGGUUUGAGCUUCGUUUUUAUUUGAGGUGAGGCUCAAAAUUCAAGUUGGGCAAGCCAAUGGCCGAAUUUAGGUUAAAAAUAAGUUUGGCACAACCCAGGUACAUGGUGAUUAAAUUUUUAGCUUAAAUAUCAAUUACAAUACUUUAACUUAAACAAAUUUAAGGGAAAAAAGAAAGAAAAAAAAACCAAUUUGUGUCCCAUAUUAAAUUUUUCAAAAAAUUAUUUAUAUUUUAAAUUAUUAUUUAAUAUAAAAAAAUAAUUAAAAACACCUAAGAUUUAUUCUAAAAAUAAUAAUUUAUUUUUAAAACAAAAUUUUAAAAAUAAUAAUUAAAAACAUUUUUUUUUAUAUUUUUUAAACAAUUUUUAAAAUUAAAAUGAAAUAAAAAAUAAUUUUUAGAAACACAAGUAGGAAUUGUUUCCACCUAUUUUUUUUAAAUAAAAAUAAGAAUAUGGGUAUGUUUGAUUAUGUUUUUCAAAACUUGUUUUUAAGGUAAAGAAUAAAAAAUAGUUUUUAAAAGCCAUUUUCAGAAAAUAUGCCAAAUGGGUCCUAAGAUUGCUUAAUUUGGGUUCUUCUAAAAAAAGAUGAAAAAUAUUAAAAUUUGGUUUUUAAAUAAUAUAAAGAUUUAUUUAACUAUAGGUUAAAUUUCUUAUCAAAAUAAAAAAAUUAUUUAAAAUUUUAAUAUUCUUAUUCCGGAGAACAUGUUACAAUGAUAAAUACUUAGAUAUUAUUUUUCAAACUUAUGGUAAUUUUAAAUAACUAUUAACCAAAUUCCUUAAACUACUUUCUAAUUAAAUUUCCCUUUAAUUAAUUAACAACGAUUUUCUAAAAAAAAAUGGUAGUAAUAUUUAUUUAUUAUAAUAUUAAAAUUUUCAUUUAUAAAAGUUUAUAGUAAAAUAUAAACAAUUUAUUUAGGAGGCGUUGGGAUACACUUCUCAAAGAAAACAUUUUUUUUUCUUUUGGGUCCUUGGGCUGUUUAGGAUGAGGUUAAAAAAUAAUUAGAGGGCCCAAAUAAAAAUACAAGCAUUGGGUCCUUUCAUUCCAACAAACAGAAGACUGAAAAAACCUAACUAAAAUGCCCUAUUGGGUACCUUUAUUCCCUUAGUUGGAUGCCUAUUAUGAGGAAUUUAAUUUUUAGCCCAACUUGGCUCAGAUACUUUUAAGGGGUUCAGGUUCGAGCUUUGCUUUUAUUUGAGGUGAGGCCCAAAAUUCAAGUUGGGCAAGUGAAUGGGCUUCAGGUUAAAAAUAAAUUUGGCACAAAUACAUGGUGAUUAAAUUUUUAGCUUAAAUAUCAAUUACAAUACUUUAACUUAAACAAAUUGAAGGAAAAAAAGAAAAAAGAAAAACCAAUUUGUGUCCCAUAUCAAAG
rnacentral:lncRNA from 1 species